GCGAGACUCUGUCUCAAAAAAAAAAAGAAAGAAAAAAAAGAGUAAGCAGGAGUUCACAAGGUGUGGGAGACUGCUGUGUGUUCACCAAGCCUCAUCUUUCACACCUGGGCACAUGUUGUAGCCCGUUUGCAAAGAUAGCCGUAAUAUUCUCCUGUCCCUGGACAUGCCCUUUGCAAGUUGAUUUUGCCAUUCCUCCCAUUGAGAAGGCACUUUGUCCCCUACUAGUCUGGGUAAGCCUUGAGAGUUGCUUUGACCAAUAGAAUUUGCUAGAAGUGAUAUUGAGCCUAGGCCUGAAGAGGCCUUGUAGCUUCCACUCCUGCCCUAAGACUGUUGCAUGAAGAUACCCAGACUAGUGUCUUUGCAGAUGAACAAUCAUGGUGAAAGAGAAGCCCAGCCGGCAGCCAGCACCAAUCGCCAGCUGUGUGAGUGUGGCCAUCCUGGAUCAUCCAGCCCCAGCUGCCCCACCAGCUGACAGCAGCCACACAAGUGACCCCAGUUGAGACCAAUAAAAGAUCUGCCCAUCUGAUACAGCCCAAACUGCUGAACCCCAGAAUCAUGAACAAAUAAGUAAAAGAAAAGAACACUGGUUGUAUUUUAUGGUUGCACUAUGUCCAGCAGAAAAAGGCAUUCCUCAGUCUCCUUGCAGCAAGCAUCAUCCCUCACCUGGACUCUGCAAAAGCCUACUCGUGGGUCUGUCUGCAUCCCUGUCUGCCUCCUCCAGGGCCAUUCUCCACCCAGUGGCCGGAUCGAUUUUUCAAAGAGGUUGAUCCCAGCUCAACCACUUGCCAUCUGUGUGACCUGUGGGCAAGUGACCUUACCUUUCGGAGCCUCAGUUGCCCCAUCUAUAAAAUGGGAAUGAUGCCAGUGCCUGCCUCAUAAGGAUGAGCCCCGCUCCUGAAGCUCAGGGAGCCCUCUCUGCAAGGCUGUUUUAGUGCAACCUCCGGAAACAUGCCCAUGCAUGUGAAAACUGGCAUGCACAUUCUGGUGCUUUUAAAAACAUCUCGAAGCCUAUCCACAGAUCCUGGACCUCAAGACUGGUUCAGUGCUAGCCCCCCAUUUUACAGAUGUGGAGAAUGAGGCUUAGCGGGUCCCAGGCAAGUCAGUGGCAAA
rnacentral:lncRNA from 1 species